GUACUCAGCAGUAUCUCAUUGUAAGGAUGUCCAUUCUCCUGUGAUUGCCGUUUCUUUUCCUAUUUCUGAUAUUAUGAACAUUCUUGUUCGUGUUAUUUUUGGAGAUAUAUACUAUGUAUAUGUAAUAUAGUACUCAUUUUUGUGGGGAAUAUACAGAGAGAGGAAUGACUGGGUCUUAGGCUAUGUAUAUGUGUAGCUUGAACAGAAACUGCCAGACAGUUUUACAGAGUGGCUGCACCCUUUCACGCUCCCACGAGCCAUGUGUGAGAGUGCCCAUUGCUACAUUCCCAUCAGCACUUGGUGUCUUCCCCUUUCCUUUCUGAGGCCCAGUGGUGAGGUGGCUCAGAACCACAGCACUGAAACCAUUCUUGAUGAGGUCAUAGCUUUUAUCCUAAUUGCCAAAUGCAACAACAGCACUAACGAUAGUGAAUAAUGGCCCACGAUAUACUGAACAUUCAACCUGUGCCAGGCACUAUGCUAAGUACUUUACAGGUGUGGUCUUGUUAACCCUCAUGGCAGCUGGUGAAUUAGGAACUGGGCAUCUCCCAGUGUUUCAGGUUAGGAAAUGGUGAUUUACAGGUGGUUAAUAACUGUCAAGAUGACUGCUUCAUAGAGGCAGGGUUUGAACUGAAGUGACAUUCUUCACCACCACGCUGUACUGGUUUUCGAUGCAGCAGAAACCUGUUCCACUUUUCUGUGCCUCAGCUUUGGUAGCACUUAGUCCCAGUGGUCCCUCUUUUCCAGUUCUGACUGGAUUGUUCUCUGCCUCUUACUCUGAUCGCCUCCUCAAUAUUGGCUUUGCCUGACAUCUCAUGGCCCUUUCUUUUUAUUGUAAUUAGUCUCCCAGAAUGAUCCGCCUCUACUCUUAGUUCUUCAGCUCAUGCAUGUUGUGUCCCAUAUCCAUGCCGCAAUAUAGGCAGGAUAGUUAACAGGUAUUCAUUGCUUUUUGGUGCUUGUAAACACUGUAUAUACACUGUUUCAAUUCAUCCUCACAGUGAUUUUUUGAGACUCUACUUGUACUCUGAUUUGUAGGUGAGGAAGCAGAAGCUUGUGGAAGUUGAACGGCUUGCUGAAGGUCAGAAAACUAGCAAGGGGGUGUUGCUGGGAUUUGAGCCUGGGCUGAUUCUCCCUAGGCUCCAGAGAGAUCCCUCAUCCCUUCCACCAUGUGGGGACACAGUAAGAAGGCACUGGCUAUGAACCAGAAAGAAUGCCCUCACCAAAACGUGACCAUGCUGGCGCCUUGAUCCUGGACUCCCCAGCCUCCAGAACUGUGAGAAACAAAUUUCUGUUGUUUGUAAGCUACCCAGGCUUUGGUAUGUUACAGCAGCCCAAAUGGACCAAGACAUUGAUGUAGUUUUCUGAUACAUGCUUUUAAAGAAUUCAGUGUUAAAUUACUAAGAAUCACUGUGUGUGAGCUGUAGUGUUUUUUUUUCCUUCUUCUCAAAAUAUUCUGUUACGUCAAUAUAUCACAAUGUAUUUAUCGAUUUUUGUGGACAUUCACCUAUUUCCAUAAUUAUAUCCAAAAAUUCUCACUAUACUACCUUGUUCAAUGAAAGAUACUUGUUUCCUUUUUCUUUCUUUUUUUAUUUGGUGGUUAUCCACCUUGCUGCACACACGUGCAGGAGUUUUAGUUGUAAUUCUUCUUAUGAGUGGAAUGACUGAUGGAAAACAACUUUACAAGAUGUUGCCCAGUGUUUUCUAAAGUGACGUUAUCAGUUUGUUAACUUCACCAGCAAUGAAUGUGAGAUUUCAUACACCACAUCCUGUCCCACAUAUGAUAUUUUUGGGCUCUAUAAUUUCUUCCAGUUGAAUAGGUGCUAACUGGUUUCUUACUCUGGUCUUCACUGGCAUUUACCUCAUUACCACUGAGGUUGAACUCCUCAUUAAAAGUUUUUUGGCCAGUGUGUAUGUUCUUGUGGAAUAGAAUAGAGAGCCCAGAAGUAGCCACUUUUUAAUUGAAGUAUAGAUGAUUUACAAUAUUAUAUUAGUUUCAUGUGUACAACAUAGUGAUUCCAUAUUUUUAUAAAUUAUACUCCAUUUAAAGUACUUACAAAACAAUGGCUCUAUUUCCCUGUGCUGUACAGUAUAUCCUUGUUGCUUAUCUAUUUCAUACAUAGUAGUUUAUACCUCUUAAUCCCAUACAGCUAUCUUGCCCCUCCUCCUUUACCUCUCCCUACUGGUAACCACUAGUUUGUUCUCUAUGAGUCUUGUUCCUGUUUUAUAUAUAUUGGGUUGGCCAAAAAGUGCCUUUGGUUUUUAAGUAAAAAUAAAAGACACAUUUUUCAUUUUCACCAAGAACUUUAUUUUUUUAAAAGGAGUUUUUUAUAUGUUUUUAUAUUUUAUUUAUUUUUGGGGGUGUUGGGUCUUCGCUGCUGCACGUGGGCUUUCAUCUAGUUGCAGUGAGUGGGGGCUACUCUUCAUUGUGGUGCGCAGGCUUCUCAUUGCAGUGGCUUCUCUUGUUGUGGAGCACAGGCUCUAGGUGUGUGGGCUUCAGUAGUUUUGGCAUGCAGGCUCAGUAUUUGUGGCUUGAGGGCUCUAGAGUGCAGGCUCAGUAUUUGUGGCACACGGGCUCAGUUGCUUCACGGCAUGUGGGAUCUUCCCAGACCAGGGCCUGAACCCAUAUCCCCUGCACUGGCAAGCAGAUUAACCUCUGUGCCACCAGGGAAGUCCCACUACUUUUGUCUUUUGUCUUUAACCUCCAUAGUUUGUGUGUAGAUGAUUUCCUACCUAUACUUACAUUCGCCUUUACUGGUGAGCUUUCCCAUUUCAUAAUUUUCUUGUUUCUAGUUGUGGCCUUUUCUUUUCUGCCUACAGAAGAUCCUUUAGCAUUUGUUGUAAAGCUGGUUUGGUGGUGCUGAAUUCUUUUAGCUUUUGCUUGUCUAUAAAGCUUUUGAUUUCUCCAUAAAAUCUGACUAGAGUCUCGCUGGGUAGAGUAUUCUUGGUUGUAGGUUUCCCCCUUUCAUCACUUUAAAUAUAUCAUGCCAUUCCCUUCUGACCUGCAGAGUUUCUACUGAAAGUCAGCUGAUAGCAUUAUGGGAAUUCCCUUGUAUGUUAUUUGUUGCUUUUAAUAUUUUCUUUCUUACCAUGUGUCUUGGCAUGUUCCUCCUUGGAUUAAUCCCGUAUGGGACUCUGCACUUCCUGUGAACUUGGGGUGACUGUUACCUUUCCCGUGUUAAGGAAGUUUUCAGCUAUUAUCUCUUCAAGUAUUUUCUUGGCCCUUUCUCUCUUCUCCUUCUGGGACCCUAUAACGUGAAUGUUAGUGUGUUUGAUAUUGUCGCAGAUAUCUCUAAACUGUCCUCAUUUCUUUUCUUUCUUCUUUGUUCUGUGGCAGCGAUUUCCACCACUGUCUUCCAGUUCACUGACCCAUUCUUCUGCCUCAUUUAUUCUGCUGUUGAUCCCUUUAUAGUGUAUUUUUCAUUUCAGUUAUUGUAUUCUUCAACUCUGUUUGGUUGUUCUUUAUAUUUUCUAACUCUUUGCUAAAAACUUCUUGUAACUUAAACUUCUCUGCAUCCUUUCUUUUCCCGAAUUCUUGGGUCAUCUUUACGAUCAUUACUCUUAACUCUUCUUGGGUAGAUUGCCCAUCUCCACUUCAUUUAGUUGUUCUUGUGGGUUUAUUUCUUGUUGCUUCAUCUGGAACAUAUUCCUUUGCUGUCUCAUUUUGUCUGAAUUUCUAUUUGCAUUUUUAUGUGUGUUAGGUUCAUUAUGUUUUUCAACCUUGGAGAAGUGGCCCUCUCUAGGGGAUGGACUAUUUGUCCCAGCAGUAUACUCCCCUCUCAUCACCCAAGGGGCAGAGGACAGCUGGUCCUACAGUAGUUUCUGACCUGUGUUUAAGGACUUAGUUACACAAGCUUAGGGAUCAUAGUUUUCUUGCUUAUGGACUGCCCCCUGGUGAGUGAGGCUGGUCAAGAGGCUUGUGCAGGCUUCCUGGUGGGAGGGGCUGAUGCCUACCCACUGGAGGGUAGAGCUGGGUUUUGGCUUUCUGGUGAACAGGGCCAUGUCAAGGGAUGUCUCUAGAGGUGGCUGUGGACUGAGGAAGUCUUUAGGCAGCCUAUCUGCCGAUGGGUGGGGCUGUGUUCCCACCAAGUUGGCUGUUUGGUCUAAAGCAUCGCAGCAUGGGAGCCUACAGGCUUUUGGGUAGGGUUAGGUCUUGGUGCUAAUGACCCCAGAAAGACUUCUGCCUUCAGUGACAAGUUAAUGUAGAUGAAUACUCACCAAUAUCUCCGCCUCCAGUGUGUACGUCCCCAGGGUGAGAUACAGCUGCCCCCUGCCUCCCCAGGAGACCCUCCAAGACCAGCAGGUAGGUCUGGUCUACACUCCGAUGAAGUCACUGCUUUUGCCCUAGGUCCCAGUGUACAUGAGACUGUGUGUGCACUCCAAGAGUGGAGUUUCUGUUUUCCCCAGUCCUGUGGAGCUCCUGCAUUCAAGCCCUGUUGGCCUUCAAAAGUCAAAUGCUCUGGGGCUCCUCCUCCUGAUGCUGGACCCUCACGCUGGGGAGCCUGACGUGGGGCUAAGAACUCUCCUGUGGCAGAACUUCUGUGAUAUAAUUAUCCUCCAGUAUUCUCCAGUUUGUGUGUCACCCACCUGGGAGGUAUGGGAUUUGAUUAUAUUGUGAGUGUGCCCCUCCUACCAUCUCGCUCUGGUUUCCUCUUUAUGUCUUUGGCUGUAGAAUUUUUUUUGGUAGGUUCCAGUCAUCUUUAUCGAUGGUCGUUCAGCAGUUAGUUGUGAUUUUGGUGUGCUCAUGAGAAGAGUUAACACAAGGUCCUUCUCCACCAUCUUGUUUCCUCUCACUGUCACUAGUUGUUUACUUUCCUGUUUUUGCCACAUAUUGUGUCUUUUUUCUAUAUUCAGUUCUGGAGUUAGGAAAGUCCAAGAUCAAGAUUCCUAUGGGGUUCAGUUUCCUGGCUUGCAGAGAGCCACCUUCUCGCUAUGUCCUCAAAUGGAGAGAGAAGUCAUCGUGUUCAUAAGUGAGGACACACAAUAUGUUAAAUAUGUAACUUCUUCAGAAUAAAAAGAAAAAAUAAUUUAUACAAAAAAGGAAAAAAACAUUCCAACAAAUGAAAGUCCAGGACCAGAUGGCUUCAUAGGUGAAUUCAAUCAAACAUUUAGAGAGAGAAGACCUAACACCCAUCCUUCUCAAACUCUUCCAAAAAAUUGCAGAGGAUGGAACACUCCCAAACUCAUUCUGCAAGGCCACCAUCACCCUGAUACCAAAACCAGACAAAGAUACUACAGAAAAAGAAAAUUACAGACUGAUAUCACUGAUGAACCUAGAUGCAAAAAUCCUCAACAAAAUACUAGCAAACAGAAUCCAACAGCACAUUAAAAGGAUCAUACACCAUGAUCAAGUGGGAUUUAUCCCAGAGAUGCAAGGAUUCUUCAAUAUACGUAAAUCAAUCAGUGUGAUACACCAUAUUAACAAAUUGAAGAAUAAAAACCAUGCUUUUCUCAAUAGAUGCAAAAAAAACUUUUGAGAAAAUUCAACACCCAUUUAUGACAAAAACACUCCAGAAAGUGGGCAUAGAGGGAACCUACUUCAACAUAGUAAGGCCAUAUGCCAUAAACAACAAACCCACAGCAAACAUCAUUCUCAGUGGUGAAAAACUGAAAGCAUUUCCUCUAAGAUCAGGAACAAGACAAGGAUGUCCACUGUUGCCACUAUUACUCAACAUAGUUUGGAAGUCCUAGCCAUGGCAAUCAGAGAAGAAAAAGAAAUAAAAGGAAUCCAAAUUGGAAAGGAAGAAGUAAAGCUGUCACUGUUUGCAGAUAACAUGAUACUAUACAUAGAGAAUCCUAAAGAUGCUACCAGAAAACUAAUAGAGCUAAUCAAUGAAUUUGGUAAAGUAGCAGGAUACAAAAUUAAUGCACAGAAAUCUCUUGCAUUCCUAUACACUAACAAUGAAAGAUCAGAAAGAGAAGUUAAGGAAACACUCCCAGUCACCACUGCAACAAAAAGAAUAAAAUACCUAGGAAUAAACCUACCUAAGGAGGUAAAAGACCUGUACUCAGAAGACUAUAAGACACUGAUGAAAGAAAACAAAGAUGACACAAACAGAUGGAGCGAUAUACCAUGUUCUUGGAUUGGAAGAAUCAAUAUUGUGAAAAUGACUAUACUACCCAAAGCAAUCUACAGAUUCAAUGCAAUCCCUAUCAAAUUACCAAUGGCUUUUUUUUACAAAACCAGAAGAAAAAACCUUUAAAUUUGUAUGGAGACGCAAAACACCCCGAAUAGCCAAAGCAAUCUUGAGGGAAAAAAGCGGAGCUGGAGAAAUCAAACUCCCUGACUUCAGACUAUACUACAAAACUACAGUAAUCAAGACAGUAUGGUAGUUUCACAAAAACAGAAAUAUUGACCAAUGGAACAAGAUAGAAAGCCCAGAGAUAAACCCAUGCACCUAUUGUCAACUAACCUAUGACAAAGAAGACAAGGGUAUACAAUGGAGAAAAGACAGUCUCUUCAAUAAGUGGUGCUGGGAAAACUGGACAGCUACAUGUAAAAGAAUGAAAUUAGAACACUCCCUAACACCAUACACAAAAAUAAAGUCAAAAUGGAUUAAAGACCUAAAUGUAAGACUGGACACUAUAAAACUCUUAGAGGAAAACAUAAGAAGAACACUCUAUGACAUAAAUCACAGCAAGAUCCCUUUUGACCCACCUCCUAGAGAAAUGGAAAUAAAAAAAAUAAAUAAAUGGGACCUAAUGAAACUUAAGAGCUUUUGCACAGCAAAGGAAACCAUAAACAAGACGAAAAGACAACCCUCAGAAUGGGAGAAAAUAUUUGCAAACGAAGCAGCUGACAAAGGAUUAAUCUCCAAAAUAUACAAGCAGCUCAUGCAGCUCAAUAUCAAAAAACAAACAACCCAAUCCAAAAAUGGGCAGAAGAGCUAAAUAGACAUUUCCAAGAAGACAUACAGAUGGCCAAGAGGCAUAUGAAAAGCUGCUCAACAUCAUUAAUUAUUAGAGAAAUGGAAAUCAAAGCUACAGUGAGGUGUUACCUCACACCGGUAGAACGGGCAUCAUCAGAAAAUCUAGAAACAACAAAUGCUGGAGAGGGUGUGGAGAGAAGGGAACCUUCUUGCAUUGUUGGUGGGAAUGUAAAUCGAUACUAUGGAGAACAGUAUGGAGGUUCCUUAAAAAACUAAAAAAUAGAAUUACCAUAUGACCCAGCAAUCCCACUACUAGGCAUAUACCCAGAGAAAACCAUAAUUCAAAAAGACGCAUGCACCCCAAUGUUCACUGCAGCACUGUUUACAAUAGCCAGGUCAUGGAAGCAACCUAAAUGCCCACUGACAGACAAAUGGAUAAAGAAGAUGUGGUACAUAUAUACAAUGGAAUAUUACUCAGCCAUAACAAGGAACAAAAUUUGGUCAUUUGUAGAGAUGUGGAUGGACCUAGAGACUCUGUAUACAGAGUGAAGUCAGUCAGAAAGAGAAAAACGAAUAUCAUAUACUAACACAUAUAUGUGGGAUCUAGAGAAAUGGUACAGAUGAACUGGUUUGCAAGGCAGAAAUAGAGACACAGAUGUAGAGAACAAACAUAUGGACACCAAGGGGGGAAAGCAGGGGUUGGGGGGGCCGGUGGUGGGAUGAAUUGGGAGAUUGGGAUUGACAUAUACACAGUAAUGUGUAUAAAAUAGAUAACUAGUAAGAACCUGCUGUAUAAAAAAUUAAAUUUUUUAAAAAAGAAUCUGCAUAUAACAGCAAGGUGGGUAACCACAAAAAAUAACUGAAAAUAAAUAAAUAAAUAAAA